UACGAAGGGUGCAAGCGUUAAUCGGAAUUACUGGGCGUAAAGCGUGCGUAGGUGGUUUCUUAAGUCUGCUGUGAAAGCCCUGGGCUCAACCUGGGAAUGGCGGUGGAUACUGAGGAGCUAGAGUGCGGUAGAGGAGGGUGGAAUUCCCGGUGUAGCGGUGAAAUGCGUAGAGAUCGGGAGGAACAUCAGUGGCGAAGGCAGCUCGCUGGGACGUAACUGACGCUGAGACGCGAAAGCGUGGGGAGCAAACAGG
rnacentral:rRNA from 1 species